rnacentral:piRNA from 1 species
UAACAGUUGUUGGUCUUUGGUAAA